UACAGAGGGUGCAAGCGUUGUUCGGAAUUAUUGGGCGUAAAGAGCGCGCAGGCGGUCGUUCAAGUCGCGUGUGAAAGCCCCCGGCUCAACUGGGGAGGGUCACGCGAUACUGAUCGACUCGAAGGCAGGAGAGGGAAGUGGAAUUCCCGGUGUAGUGGUGAAAUGCGUAGAUAUCUGGAGGAACACCGGUGGCGAAGGCGGCGUCCUGGACCAACACUGACACUGAUGAGCGAAAGCCAGGGGAGCAAACGGG
rnacentral:rRNA from 1 species